rnacentral:rRNA from 1 species
UACGGAGGAUGCAAGCGUUAUCCGGAUUUAUUGGGUUUAAAGGGUGCGUAGGCGGAUGAAUAAGUCAGUGGUGAAAGCCUGCAGCUUAACUGUAGAAUUGCCAUUGAUACUGUUCGUCUUGAGUACAGCCGAGGUGGGCGGAAUAUGACAUGUAGCGGUGAAAUGCUUAGAUAUGUCAUAGAACACCGAUUGCGAAGGCAGCUCACUAAACUGUCACUGACGCUGAGGCACGAAAGCGUGGGGAGCAAACAGG